rnacentral:rRNA from 1 species
UACGUAGGGGGCAAGCGUUGUCCGGAAUCAUUGGGCGUAAAGCGCGUGUAGGCGGUUCGGUAAGUCCGCUGUGAAAGUCGGGGGCUCAACCCUCGAAUGCCGGUGGAUACUGUCGGGCUAGAGUACGGAAGAGGCGAGUGGAAUUCCUGGUGUAGCGGUGAAAUGCGCAGAUAUCAGGAGGAACACCCAUUGCGAAGGCAGCUCGCUGGGACGUUACUGACGCUGAGACGCGAAAGCGUGGGGAGCAAACAGG